UGUUGAAACGAAAGAUAGAAAAAAGUCAUUGUAUCACAAGGCUCGUCUCCCUCAUCCUCACUGUGACCUAGGCUUUGGAUGGAGAUUAUCUUUUAGGCAUACUUCUUCCUAAUUUUCUUUAUUUCAUCAAAUCCCUUUGAGUGGUUUGAACUCAGAGUGUGCCAUGAAUGAGUAAAGUGGAUUCAUAAGGAAAUGUGCACAUGAGGGUCUCAUCUCAUUGCAGCUUCUUCUUUUCCACAGGGAGUUGUGAAUAGCAGUGAGUCCCAGAAGGGUGUGUCCAAGUUUCCCUGAAAACCUUUGUAUAAGAAAAUCUUUAAGAUAAAAAAGAAAGUCCCCCUGAGCACCAUGUGGACUUGCUCCUGUGGGGACAGUGCGGGGCACACCUGCUCCCUAGUGUUGGGCUGGCACCAUGACUGCCUGGUGGCCACCUUCAGGGCUCUGAGAAGGACUACCAGCUGUGGGUGCAUGCUGGCAAGCAGGAGGCCCCAUAUCCAUUGUCUGGGCGUGAAUACCUGCUUGGGAACAGGCACGUUCCUGUCACCACACUUCAGCCUCAGAGACUAGAGGACGUCCCCUCCCCCUCUACCCUGGAGGACCAGGCAUCUGUGGGUGAAACCCAGCUGGUCUUGAAGCCCAGGCUGCUCGCACCCGGGAAGCAGGAGGGGAAUGGACCUGCUGGUCCAUAUAAAUGACAGAGGGGCACAGGCAGAAGGCAUCUUCAGGAAAUCUGCCAACAUAAAAUGCUGCCGAGUCCUCAAAGAAAAGCUGAAUCGAGGGGAGCACAUGAACCUGAGUGAUGAAUCUGUUCACGUGGUGGCAUCAGUGCUCAAGGUUAGGGCAGUGGGAGCUCCACUCCCAGCACACUCUGAAGCUGCAGGACUGUGGCAUGUUCACAACUUGCCCGGCCUAUUGGAAUUGGAGGAUAACCUUCUAAAAAACACCUCAUGAAGGCACCAGUCCAGGGAGCUACUUGGGGUGUUAAUGACCUGUACGUUAAAUACGCCUUCCUUUUCCUUUGCUUACCAUCUCCCAGCUUCACUCCUAAGCACUUACAGCAAAAUUACAAAAUAAAUGACGUUAUCCUUGUCUCCACUGCUCUAUUUCUGAUAUCUCCCCAUUAAUGUUCAGUUUCCCCAAUGGGGAGGAUAUUUACGUUCCAAAAUUUGGGGUUAAACUGGGUGAGUUAACAUGUGGUUGCCCAAAUACAUGACUCACCUGCUCUGCCAAGGCCCAGUCUCUCAAUUGUGUGCAGGAGCAUGUGGGGCAUGUGAGCUGUGGUGUCCAUAUUCUCUUCUUAGGAUUUAGCCAGUCGAGAUCACUGUGUCCUAAAUGACAAGCAAAGGAAUGUGUAUUUCCUUUUGAAAAACUUCAGAGGAUUGGGUGUCACUUCUCACCUGACUUUUCACUUAGAGUGGGUUUGGUAACGUGUCCACCAAGACAGCACUCCCCUGGAAAGAAGGGGGCUUACCUUCAUCUGCACCACAGCCACAUGGUGCUCUUUGACUGCAAUGUUCUGGUUGCAGAGAUGCUGUGGAGGGCUGCAGCAGCUGUGUCUGCUCAGAGUUUGGGCGGCCGUGUGUUUGUGGGCUGAGAUCAGUUGUUCAAAUAAAUGUUUUCUCUGUCAUUUUUUCAGUUGAUAUUGGCCUUGAGAAUAAUUUCAUCCUUAUAUUUUUAUGUAAGGAUUUUGUUCCCAGGGGUGUGUGCCCUUCAGGCCUGUAUGAAGAAUGACUUGGUGUCACCGACCAAGCAGGAGGAGAAAAUAACUGCCACUCAGAGGUGAUGAUGGGUUCUUACUCUACUUGGCUCCUGUCUCAGAAAUGCAGCCCCCGUACUGUAUGGAAAAUAUUCUCUUCUCCUCCCACCUUUAUCCUCUAUAAUUCCUCUAUAUUAGUGACCAGACCAAAAAGUUGCACUGGAUCACACCUGGGGCGGCCAGUUUAGAGGGUCAUCUUGCCAUCCUGCUGCACCAAACCUGAGCUUUUCCCUAAUUUUAUUCCUACGGCAUCUUAAAAAAACUUUUUAACAUAUGAAACUGAUAGGAUAUAUGCUAUAUUACAAUCUGCUUGAGGUUUCACCUUUAUUUUGCUCAACACUCAACUAUCUGGCUCAGGAAUUGAUCCCGUGAAACAUGUUUAUGCGUGUUCAUGUCGCUUACUCAGCUAGUCUCUUAGAUGCCGUAGGUCUCCUGUAGACUCUGAUGACAAUUGUCAUACCCUAUUCAUACCCCUAUUAGGGGGCAAUUUGAAAAGCAAUUGCUAUUAAAUUCAACAAUAAACUUGCUUGAACCUUAGUUGAGCCCAUUCUGAAAUGUACUGGGUU